GAUGAAGAACGUAGCGAAAUGCGAUACGUAAUGUGAAUUGCAGAAUUCAGUGAAUCAUCGAAUCUUUGAACGCAUAUUGCGCUCUCUGGUAUUCCGGAGAGCAUGUUUGUUUGAGUAUCAGUAAACACCUCAACUUCCAUAUCUUUUUUGAAAUGGGAGUUGGACUUGAGUGAUCCCAACGCUUUUCCUCACCGAAAAGUGGCGGGUUACUUGAAAUGCAGGUGCAGCUGGACUUUUCUCUGAGCUAUAAGCAUAUCUAUUUAGUCUGCCUAAAAAACAGAUUAUUACCUUUGCUGCAGCUAACAUAAAGGAGAUUAGUUCUUGUGCUGACUGAUGCAGGAUUCACAAAGACAGGCUUCGGCCGACUUUGUAAACUCGAUCUCAAAUCAAGUAAGACUACCCGCUGAACUUAAGCAUAUCAAUAAGCGGAGGA
rnacentral:misc_RNA from 1 species